rnacentral:lncRNA from 1 species
AUGACAAUCAGCCACUGGUGUUUGUAUCUGAACUUCGACUGGUAACCGUGGUCUCUGUCAAGCUGCAAUUUCACGAGAGCACAAAAGUGACAGAGCUGUGCAAAUUGGUCCAGGAUGCCACUGUGAGCAUCUCUGGUAUCAUGAAGGGCUGGAGAGGCAAAAUUAUCCAAAUCUCCACAUAUGGCAAAGCUUGUUUCCAUUGGGAUUACAAGCGGGUUAGCGUCUGUGGAGUUGCUGGCAUGCGUUCUAGGCAAGAAUAUACAGUCACUGGCUCAAAGGUUAAGAUGGCCUCCAGGAUGCUGACGCUUUUUCCAGGGAUGAUAUCAUGUGAUGAAGAGAUUUACUCAAUAUCUGGGUUGCCCGGCUGUUUUUUUAAGAAGCUUCCGGAGAAGGAGACGAGCGAUGCUGUGAGCUCUGGGGUAACCUAUGAAUAUCUUGGCAGAAAGAGAAACUCCUAAGUCACUCUUAUGUGCUCCUUCCAGCACAAGCAAGAGAGAAGGGAAAAUCUAACUCUGUUAACUCAAAGGCUGAAUAUUCUUAUCCGGGGCCAGCAAUCCCAGAGAGCUUGCAGACAGGCAUAGAUGGUAGUGACCACCCUGCCCUUCCCAUCUUGCUAAACAGAAGCUGGAUCCUGACUUGUUCCCAGCUAGAUGGAAGGAGUUCUGAUAAGAAAAAGGUUGAGAACCACUGUCCUUAUCCAAGCGACUGCCUGAAAUAUCCUCCAAACACCUACGUUUCCACUGGGAUUAAGAAUGGGCUGUACGCAGCAAAUGAAUGAGCCCAUCUAACUCUUUCAUUUCGCCUCUGGGCAGCCAGAUGGGUUCAUGGAUCUUCUGAAAGUCUUUUUUCUGUUUCUCUUUAUUUCUUACCUAGUGUAUGAUAGUCCAGAUAGGUGAUCACUGACUCUUGUCUUCCUUCCUCCUUUUAGAAUGUUUGGAAAGUCAGGCAUUACCAGGAAGAAGGAUGGGAAUCGACCCCUGUUGGAUAGGUGGAUCUAUCCUCUUGGCACAGUUUUAAUAAUGUGCAGAACAUCCCUGAAAGCCAGGAAGGGAUGCAAUGGUGGGAGGAAGGACAUAGGGAUAAAUAGGAAGGGGAGUUGCCAUCUAACAACAUCAGGGAAAAUAAUAGCCAUAUGUUUUUGUUUAAAGCAAAAGAUCAGCUCUGAUUGUCCCCCUCUCCUGUUCCCAUGUGUCCACAGAUCCAAUGCUUGUCUUUGCAGGCAAGCUAAAGGGUUGUAGGCCAGCAGCCCAAGUGGUUGCAAGGCACCUGUGAUUGAGACAGAGGUGCAAUCUAUAAAAUGAGAGAGGACAAUUCACAAGCUAGCUCGUCUGCUUGAUGACACCACAGCGCAAUGCCAGAUGUAGGAUUAGAACUCAGGCCCAGAGCGCUUCCUCCUGGCCUCUGAACUGGACACACUCCAGAGCGGGUUUACUUAGGCCUAGGGCAUGUUGGUGGUUU